UACGGAGGAUCCAAGCGUUAUCCGGAAUUACUGGGCGUAAAGAGUUGCGUAGGUGGUUUUUUAAGUAAAGCAUUAAAUCGUGUGGCUCAACCAUACUGCUAUGUUUUAAACUGAAAGACUUGAGAAUGAGAGAGGUUAUUGGAAUUCCCAGUGUAGGAGUGAAAUCCGUAGAUAUUGGGAGGAACACCGAUGGCGUAGGCAGAUAACUGGCUCAUUUCUGACACUAAGGCACGAAAGCGUGGGUAGCAAACGGG
rnacentral:rRNA from 1 species